ensembl:lncRNA
GUGCCAGAGCCGCCUCGACCAGGACUGCAGCGACCCUGCCUAAGAACCACCCUUCAGAGGGAAUCUGUAACCUCAGACACAUCCAAGCCGAGAACCAUGGGGAGCCUGGGGCUCAGCGGGCUGUAACCCUAAACAUCCAGGCUCCAACCCUGCCAUGGUCCCAGAGACACUUCUCUCUUGCCCACUCUUCUCAAAAGCAAAGAUUCCUGAACCCACCUGUAGGAGGCGUGUGGGCUGAGCUUUGGCCCCCACGAGAGAGAAACUCUGCUCCUGAGUUGGGGGGCAGAACUGAGCAGCAGAAACUUCAAGGUGAAAGAAAAGGGGACACAGGUUUGAUCCCUGGUCGGAGAAUUAAGCUCCCACAUGCUCUGGAGCAGCUACGCCUGUGCACUGCAACCAGGGAAUUCGUGUGCUACAACUAGAGAGUCUCUGCACCACAAUGAAAGAUCCUGCAUGAUGCAACGAAGGCCUCAUGCCACAACUAAGACCCGAUGCAGCCAAAUAAGGAGCUUUAAGGCAUUAUCAUCUCAACAUUGUCAACGGAAAGACUGAAGAAGUCAGAGCUUCUGGUUGUUAAUCCUGGCUGUCCACUAGAGUCACCCGGGAAGCCUGUAAAGCCCAACAAUGAAGCCACACCUGACACCAGCGCAGUGAAGCUCUUUGGAAGCAGAUGCGGCCCAGGGUCCCGAGGCUUUAAAGCCCCCCUGUGAUUGCACUCUGUGGCCAGUUGGGGGAGCUCUUGCAGGGAGUCGGCGGAAGGCUUGGAAUGCUCGCUCAUCCCAAACGCUUCCUGCAAGUA